GCGGGAGUGGCGGAACGGCAGACGCGCCGGUCUUAGGAGCCGGUACUUCGGUGUGUGGGUUCAAGUCCCAUCUCCCGCACCA
rnacentral:tRNA from 2 species